UACAUAUAAUUUUUAUUGACACCUUAAUAAAGCUAGAAAAAAAUAAGUGAAAGGCCUAGUCCGAUGCCCCUUAGAAGACUAGAUUCUAUUUGCAAAUAGGACUCACUGCUGAAAAUUAAUUUUUCAGCUACCCUGGGGUUAAUUGCUCAUGAGGCUCAGCUCUGCAUGGGGCACCAUAAAGAGGCCUGUGGACUAACGGAGAAUCAGGAUUAGGGUAAUAGCCCUUGAAAUGUACCUUCUUGGGAGCUUACAGAAGUGGAGCUCCCCACAGGUAGCCACUACAGAGACAGGCACUGGCUAUUUGCUUGUUUUGCAGUAAACGAUAAGUGUAGAUGUUUUGCAGUUUUUGCUGAGAGAAGCAAAAGGUUGUCCUGAGUCACUGGACACUUACAUUCUCUUUUCAAAACUACUACAAAAAUAUUUAGUACUUAACUAGAAUGUACAUUGAAAUUAUAUUUCCCUAUAAUCCUGUUUGUGUCAGCACAUUAAAAUUCCCUUGAAUGUUUCUUAUGUAACCACUUCUGGUUAACUCUUAUCUUGAAGUUAGUACAAUUUAGUCUUUGCUGUCUUUUUCAUCACUGUGAAAGUCCCUUUCUCAGAUUCUUCAAUUGCAUCAAAUUCCCCAUGCACUCCAAAUCUUAUUCCACUCCCAAUUUAUGUAAAACCAAUUGUGCUUUCAGUCUAUUUAUUUUAGUUCAAGUAGACACCUUAUUUAAAGAGGCUUUAUAGCUCUCAUACUAAUUACUUAUGCACUCACCUGUACUGCAUGAUGGGAGAAAUGCGCAGCCUUCACCGUCAUCAAAACGUUCAGUAAAUACUUAAUUUUUCAUGUCUUUGAUUGAUACUAUGUGAAGAUUUACAAAGAGUUACACAAAACUGGCUUCUUUUCACUAGAAGCUGAAAUUGGAAAGUUGACACAGGUAUAUGGACAAAUACAACAUAAAGCAAAAGUGCAAUUAUUUGGCCUGAUCAAUGUUUAAGUGUGCCCAAGCUCAUUUCCACUUCAUAACAUAUGCUGGUUGUUCCAUCUCCUUUUAAUUCUCUUCCUCCAGAUCUUUAUAUCUCUUGCACUCUCACUUUAUUAUUAAUUUUUGUUGCUGUUGAAAUGCUACUUUCUCAGAGAAAUUUUUUUCUGAUCCUGUUUUCUAAAAUAGAGUUUUCUCCAACAUUUUUACAAAAUUACUCUCUAAGUUCUUAACUUGAUUUUUAUAUAUAUGUUACCAUCACACUUGUCAGUACCUGAAACUGUAUUAUAGAUCAAUUUCUUUGUUUAUGGUUUGUCACCAUAGAAUGAAAUUCCAUAAAGGCCACAAAUUUGUCUUAUUUAUUACUAUAUUUUUAGUGUUUGAAAUAGUGCCUGCUACCUAGGAGGUGCUUGUUAAAUUUUUGUGAGUUAAUGAAUGAAUAAGUCUCAUUUGAUUCAAAAUGAAAGGUGAGGUGAAAUAUUGGGAACAUAUCAAAGAAGAUGUUAAAAUGGUGAAGGAAGAGUCAUCAGGAACACUGUUGAAAUAAGAGAAGGAUCUUAGAGAUUGCCUGCUUGUUGAAAAAGAAUGGAGGAAAACCCAGGUGGAGAAAUUCCAAUUUUGAAUCAAUUUAGGAGCACUGAACAGUAUGAAAGAGAUAUUCUCAGCUGAGUUGUUUAGGGCAGGGGUAUUUGAACGAAAGAACCUGUUGCCUCUUUUUGAUUCCUGAGCUUGAGGAGUUGAGAACAAUGGGUAAACAAUGUUUGUUGUGGCAUGGUACUCAGGGACAUAUCUGCUAGCACCCAUGGAUCUGUUAUCUGUUCCAAACCAAAUCUGGCAGCCUGGUAAAGUGAGGAUUCCAGUUGUCUUGGGUAGUAACUACACUUUCUUUCUUUCUUUCUUUUUUUUAAAUCAUCUGCUACAUUUCUCAGAACUAGGGAAUCCCUGAAAGAAAUUUUCAAGACAUAGAGCACAAAGACUGGAUCUGUUUGUUAUAUUUUGAGUAAGAAUAGAGGCUACUAUUCAGGAAAUGCACUUUGUUAUUUGAGGAAGGGAAAUGUAGAAAGGGCAGUCUGCCCAUUAGCCUUUUCUAAAAAGCAAUCAGUAUUUCCAGUGGCAUCCUUAGCUGGUCAAGCCUCAUAGAACAGUCUUGCCCUGGGGCAUUAUACCUGUUGUGCCCAUUUGUUAUGGGUUUUUCAUGAGUCUCCCAAUUUCAGAAUGUUGCCGUGUUGUCAGACCUUGUGCCUGCCAUGCUAUGGCAUGUUGUCACAAUAAGGCUUCUGAUUUUAGGUGCCGUUUUAUAAUUAUUGAAAAAGUUAGGUAUGUGACAAAGUAUGCUGGACUUCAUAGAUAAAACAAAGUCUACAAAAAAUUUUAAAAAUUAGUCUCUAAUUUUUGCUACUUGUAUAUAUUAAAACCAAUGUGAAUUCUCUGAAUCUUGUCCAGAAUUUCAACCUACUUAACCCACGUGAUUCACAUGAGAAGGGAGGCUAGGAGGGAGAUGGAUCGAGAAAAAUGAAAUAGGAGGAUGUAUUUCACAAUAAAUAAUGAGAAUUUUAUGUAAAGUUCCAAUUAGAAAGAAGGUAGAUUUAGGCCUUCUAAAUAAACUUAAGGUUUCAAGAACCACUUGAAGAAAUCUGUAAAGAGGAGGAUAUCAAGAGCAGGAGGAUAUCUGAGCUAUACACAGUUGUAGCCCAGAUGAAGUAGUACAGGCCCCAAGAAAAAGAAUGGUUAUACAAUGUGACCAAUACUUCCCAAUGGAAGGCUUUUCCAUAUAAUGUAUAACAGAAGUGGUACACAUUCAUAGCAAUUUGAUAAAACAAUUAUAUUUUCCAGUUAAUAGUCACAAUAAUCCUGAUAGGUACAAAAGGUAUUACAAUUAUCCCACUUUUAAGUUAAGAAAAAUGAGUUCUGGAGUGUCUGAGCUUGUAUGUAAGACAUAAAGGCUUUUGGAACUCAUUCAGUGAUUACACAGAGAGAGUCUAUUUCUGCCUGAAACACACAAGGUAAAUUGUGUCUUUAACAACCCAUCUCCUAUCAACCAUCUAUCCAAAAGGCAGGUGCAUCAUAACAGCACAGUAAGUAGAAGGUUCAGGAAGAGCAUGAGAGCUUUUCUUACAGAAAGAGAUCACAUCAAUUGCCUAUUGUGAGUGGAUUACCUUGUGAAAAAUAAGCAUGAUUUAAAUUUUCAGUUGACAGUCAAAAUUCAAUAAACUACUUCGGUGUUGUCAAAGCUGUUUUCUGUAUUCAUAUUACAGAAAAUGGGCCACUUAAUCUUUAAAAAGUGAUCAAUUAGUCUAGCCUACAUCGCUUCUUAUUGGCAAUGCAUGCUACCAGGUGGCUGCUUUUGAAUCUUUAAAAAAAAUUAAAGAAAAUGUCUGAAAGGCAAGGUAAAGAGUAUAAUGAGAUAUGCUAACUUCUUACAAAAUUCUGAAUAAACUCAUGAAACUCCUAAAAUGUUAAUUAGUCCUCUUGUGCUGUAUGCUUAUCACACCUGUUUAGUUAUGCCACCACAGACAUGUUCCCUGGAAUUCUUAUUCUAGUCUGUGACUUCUAGUUAAUGAUGUCAUAAGCCUUUCUCAGUACAUAGUGGCACCAAAAUUCUCUUGUCACUUGGUACAUAGUUCAUAGGGAUGGGAGCACAGAGAAUCAGGUUAGUGGGCCUGGAUUUUAGUUCUGAACUUGUACUAGUUCAUGCAUUUCUAAAACUGUACUUAAAGAAACACAUGCAUGCCCAGGCCCACCCUUAGCCAUUUUUAUAUAGUCAGACUUGAGUGAAGCAAAAAUACCUGUGAUUUUCACAAAGUGUUUCUGAAGCACAGCUCUGCUCAGAGCCCUUGCUUUACAGGUUCCAAUAGUGUCAAAUCUAUGUCACUUAGCCUGAAUCCUCUGGAAAGCCGAGCCUGAAGCAAUGAUUAUGAUUCUAAUAGUUUAUUUUCCAGAUACAAUCACAUCACAGGAUGUUGAGCCUCCUCACCCCAUGUGGAGGUGAGGCUUUCCUCAGGUGGUCCCCUGCCAAAGUGGGGAAGUCAGCUGGAUUCCUUAUCCUACUCAGUAAGAAGGUAUCAAGUGCCUACAAUGUACCAGGAUGCCAUUGGCUCUGGGGAUAUAGCAGUGCAAGACAGAAAUGCAGCUCAUGGAGCUGGCGUUCUGAUGGUGAGAUGCAAGCACCAAACAAAGGAAAUACGUAGAUGUCACUGCUACACGUGUUGAGAAAGAAGAUCAUGCUCCUUGAAUCCUUUCUUGUGCAAGACCUUUGAUUCCCUCGUAAGAAAAGAAGCUGCUUUAGAGUGAGGGCUUCAGACCUUUCAUCAUCCUGGCUCUGGUCCAUCCAUCCUUUCUCUGAUCUGUAGCUCAGGAAUGGGGUGAAGUAGACAUGCCCCAGAUGCAUGUCACUGCCAGGCAGGUCCUUGGAUGGGAAAGUACAAGAUGUACUCACAGAAAGAUGUCCAGAUAAAAACAGCUGUUGUACUAAGAGAAAACUUAAGAUUUCUGGAGAAAAGCAUCCAUAAAUGGCUCCUGCAUAAAUGGUUCCUGAAGUAUAUGCAAAAUGGGAAGUGGCAGCACUUACAAGAUUUUUUAAAAAGCUUUAUUCGAAGAAAAUAUAUUCUCAAAACCACUCAGUCAGGUUGAUGUCUAAAAUAGAGGUCGGCAGUCUCUCAAAUGUGGUGGUGCAUAAUAAUAAAGUCAGCGUAGUUUCUAACAAAGAGCAGAGAAGAGGAUGUGGUAGCCUCAUCUGGCUCUCAUGCUACCUCAUGUGCUAUCACAGGAACCCCAUACCCGUCAGAUUCCAACAGGAAAUAGAUGGCACAUCCAAAGUAAGAAAAUUAGACAGGUAUUUACUUAAAAAUGAGUGAUUUAUCCUCUGUAGCUGUAGGAAAAAUUCAUGGGAUACUGCAGUAACCUGGGCUGAUUGUAGCUGCACUAUUAUCACACCUAGGUGGGAAGGGAUGUGCGGAGGGAUGGUUUCUUGGAAUCUGA
rnacentral:lncRNA from 1 species